AAUGCAGCAACGGCCUCAGCGGUCCUAGCAGCAGGGCUGGGUAUGUGGCAGUUGCUGGCAGAGGGGCUAGGGCCAGGAUGUGACAGCCCCAAUA